rnacentral:tRNA from 1 species
UCCCUGGUGGUCCAGUGGCCAAGACUCUGUGCUCCCAAUGCAGGGGCCCAGGUUUGAUCCUGGUCAAGGAA